GUGCUGAUGGCUCUGAGUCUGGAGCCUGCUUCGGAUUCUGUGUCUCCCUCUCUCUCUCUGCCCCUCACCCACUCUCUGUCUCUCUCGCUCUCAAACAUUAAAAAAAAAUUAAAAAUUACUAGACAUGCAAUGAAGUAUGAAAAUGUAGUCUGCAAUCAUAAAGUCGAUAAACACAUAACUCACAUAUUGAAAUAUUAAGGCAAAGACUUCAAUCAUAAAUAUGUUAAAUAAUUUGCAGAAGAGGAGUAUAUAUAAUAAAGAAAUGGAGGUGUUUCUGGAGAGCUAUGAAAACUCUAAGAAGGGAACCAAAUGGAAAGCCUAGAACCGAAAAACAAAAUAUCUCAAAAAAUUCACUAGAAGGGCUUAACAGCAGAAGAAAGGAUCAGUUAACCAGAGGACAGUUCAAUAGAAAUUAUUGACAGAGUUUGGGACACGCUACCCCGAAAUACAGCAGCAGCUUGGCAUAUUGAGUAUUUCAAGCGGAAGGAAUGUGAGAGCAGAUUCCGGAAGGACUCUGACCUUCCCUGAGGCAGGUCAUAGGCCCUUCGUUGAAAGGAGCACCCUUAUCUCUGAAGACAGAGACACCAAGAGGAGAUGAAGGAAUGGGAUUUGCCCCCGUUGCAUGAACUCAGGUCAUACCUUCUCUUUCUUUGGUCCUGUCACAUGUUCCCACAACCCUCCACUCUUUCUUUUUUUUUAUUUUUUGAGAGAGAAUGAGCAGGGGAGGGGCAGACAGAGAGGGUCAGAGAGAAUUCCAAGCAGGCUCUGCCCUGUCAGCACAGAGCCCGACGUGGGGCUCGAACCCACGAACCGUGAGAUCAUGCCCCCAGCAGAAAGCAAGAGUCGGAUACCAGGCGUGCCCACAGCUCUCCACUCCGUCAAACUUAACGACAGUUAGGCUUCACUGCUUAGGUCUUCAUUUCCUUGUGAAGGCUCCCAUGGCACGUAAAACUUACAUUAAAGAAAUUUGUGUGAUUUUUCUCUUGUUAACUUAUCUGUUGUUACAGGGGCUCCAAGCCCAGAACUUCCCCUACACUAUUAUCCAAACUGAAGCUCAAAGAGAAAAAAGAUUGGGGAAAAAACUGAAGAGAGCCUCAGUGACCAUAUCAAAUUGCCUCAUGUACGUGUAAUUGAGUCCACGGAGGACAGGAGAGAAUGAACGGAGCUGAAAAAUAUCUCUUUGAAAAAUAACGAUUGGAAUUUUCUAAAUUUGAUGAGAACCCCCAGAGCCAAGAAGAAAGCCACACCUCUGCACAUCAUAACCGAAUUGUUCAAAAACAAAGACUAAAACAGCCACUCAAUAAAGACCUAUUACCUGCAAAGGAACACGGAUAGUUGAGAGCCUUUGCUGGUGUAAAAGAGAGAAACGGGACCUCA